ACGGGUGAGUAACGCGUGGGAAUCUACCCUAUAGUUGGGGACAACAUAUGGAAACGUAUGCUAAUACCGAAUAUGCUCUACGGAGUAAAGGAGCCCUCUUCUUGAAAGGUUUCGCUAUAGGAUGAGCCCGCGUUAGAUUAGCUAGUUGGUGAGGUAAAGGCUCACCAAGGCCACGAUCUAUAGCUGGUUUGAGAGGAUGAUCAGCCACACUGGGACUGAGACACGGCCCAGACUCCUUCCAGGGGAAGGCAAGCAGUUGUGGGGAAUUNAUUUGCCACAAAUGGACCGGCAAAGUCUGGAUUGCAGGCCAUUACCGGCGGUGUGUUGAAAGAAGGCCCCCGAGGGGUUGUAAAAGCAACUUUCAGUUAGGGGAGGAAAGAUUAGUAAGAUUUAAUACCCUUAUUGUUUGACGUUACUUACAGAAGAAGCCACCGGCUAAACUCUGUGCCAGCAGCCCGCGGUAAUACAGAGGGUGCCAAGCGUUAUUCGGAAUUUACUGGGCGUAAAGCGCGCGUAGGCGGAUAAUUAAGUCAGUUGUGAAAGCCCUGGGCUCAACCUAGGAACUGCAUCUGAUACUGAUUGUCUAGAGUUUAAGAGAGGGAAGUGGAAUUCCAGGUGUAGCAGUGAAAUGCGUAGAUAUCUGGAGGAACAUCAGUGGCGAAGGCGACUUCCUGGCUUAAAACUGACGCUGAGGUGCGAAAGCGUGGGUAGCGAACGGGAUUAGAUACCCCGGUAGUCCACGCCGUAAAGCGAUGUCAACUAGUUGUUGGUCUUAUUAAAAAGAUUAGUAACGAAGCUAACGCGAUAAGUUGACCGCCUGGGGAGUACGGUCGCAAGAUUAAAACUCAAAGGAAUUGAC
rnacentral:rRNA from 1 species